CCUACUAUUUUUAUGCCGGUGUGUUUGUAUAUUAUGAGACGUGGUUUUAAAACUAUUGACCCUGCAGUUAAGGAAAGGCAUCAGGAAGAUGCUCACACUUUAAAGAUGCCCCAAAUCUGGGUCAAACCGGUUCAGGAAGAACCACUUACAGCGACAGGUUCUGCUUGGUUGUCCCAAUCCUGGGAGUCCAAUGUAUGGACCAGGACAUACCCCAACUCCUAAGCAGGCACCUGCUCCAAGCUCCAGAGAAUACACUCCAGGAGACCAGCUGUCACUUGCUGCACCCACCAGAACCACCAAGCCCCAGAGGCUGUCCUUCUCUCAUGACCAAAAGAGGACCACCAGCAGGCAUGAAGCUCCACCGAAUGCAGAGCCUGGUGGACCAGGACCACCAAGAAAAACGCCAAUUCCUCUCACACUUUGAGCCAGACACAGUUCUUGACUGAGCAUCAGAACUGAUGAGCAAAAAUUUAGAAACAUUGGAACCCAGGCCACACUCUGGACCGCAUAGAAGUCUCUGUAGCCCAGGAAAUUUGCAAAACUCCCCUGGAAACUCUCAAGUACAGACAUAUUUGAGAAGCAGGCACAAAGCACCUCAAAUCUACAGCCUUGAGUCAGGUAAGAAAGCCCCUGACACACACCUGGGCAGCCCUUUCUCAGAAAUGGGACACAAGGACCGUGACUCCACCCAGGCAGAGCCAGCAAGAGAGCUCUCAAGACUGCAUUCUUAGAGGAUCUGCUAAAGGAUCACAAUCACAGUGCUUGGGGACAUCCUGCC